rnacentral:rRNA from 1 species
UACGUAGGGGGCAAGCGUUGUCCGGAAUCAUUGGGCGUAAAGAGCGUGUAGGCGGCCCGAUAAGUCCGCUGUGAAAGUCCAGGGCUCAACCCUGGAAUGCCAGUGGAAACUGUCGGGCUGGAGUCCGGAAGAGGCGAGUGGAAUUCCUGGUGUAGCGGUGAAAUGCGCAGAUAUCAGGAGGAACACCGAUGGCGAAGGCAGCUCGCUGGGACGGUACUGACGCUGAGGCGCGAAAGCGUGGGGAGCAAACAGG